rnacentral:rRNA from 1 species
CCCUCGCGGCGUCGCGGCCGGCCACUCCUUUCGUCACGAGCUCGCUCGUGGCGCGGGGCUUCCACCAUCGAACACGUUGAACGAAUGACUGAGUCCCUUGAUUGACCCUGCGAGUGAGAAGUGCGAGUGCCGUCCCCCCCUUGGGGGGUUCGGCGCUGGUUACCUUGCGAGUUGUGGACAACGUGAGUAAACUGAAACAACUCUCAGCAACGGAUAUCUUGGCUCUUGCAACGAUGAAGAACGCAGCGAAAUGCGAUACGUAGUGUGAAUUGCAGAAUUCCGCGAAUCAUCGAGUCUUUGAACGCAAGUUGCGCCCGAGGCUUGUCCAAGGGCAUUUCCGCUAGAGCGUCACCGCGCACCCCCACCGACCCACUCCCGUUCGCGGCGAGUCGGGUCGAGUGAAAGUGGCCGUCCCGAGCGGUGGGGGCCCGUCGGGCCUUCACUUGGAAGGGUGGGCUGAAAUGGAUGGAAUUGGGCCGCCGUGGUGUGAUGCAGUCCGCGAUCGGGUGAUCCGAGCUCCUCCGGGAGUCCGGACUUUUUCUAAGUGCGUGGCUGCGUCCCCCCAGUCGGUCCGUGGUUACCCCAGGUCGAUGCGCGCCCGCGAGGCGCGCGUCACGCAUCGGACCUCUAAUCGGAAAAGACUACCCGCUGAG